CAAUUGAAGGGUUUGAUCCUGGCUCAGAAUGAACGUUGGCGGCGUGGAUUAGGCAUGCAAGUCGAGCGAUGAAGCAGUGCUUGCACUGUGGAUUAGCGGCGAAAGGGAGAGUAACGCGUAGAUACGUACCCUUCGGUCUGGAAUAGCUACGGGAAACUGUAGGUAAUUCCAGAUAACGUCUCCGGACCAAAGAUUUAUUGCCGGAGGAGCGGUCUGCGUCCUAUUAGGUUGUUGGUGUGGUAAUGGCGCACCAAGCCAAAGAUGGGUACCGGGUGUGAGAGCAUGGCCCGGCUCACUGGGACUGAGACACUGCCCAGACAUCUACGGAUGGCUGCAGUCGAGAAUCUUCCGCAAUGGACGAAAGUCUGACGGAGCGACGCCGCGUGCGGGAUGAAGGCCUUCGGGUUGUAAACCGCUGUCAGAGGGGAGCAAAUGGAAACUUGAGCGAUCCUCAGAGGAAGUACGGGCUAAGUUCGUGCCAGCAGCCGCGGUAACACGAACCGUACGAACGUUAUUCGGAAUCACUGGGCUUAAAGAGUCCGUAGGCGGCUUUGUAGGUGGGGUGUGAAAGCCCACGGCUCAACCGUGGAAUUGCGCUUCAAACCACAAGACUUGAGGAAGAUAGAGGAGAGCGGAACUGAUGGUGGAGCGGUGAAAUGCGUUGAUAUUAUCAGGAACACCGGUGGCGAAGGCGGCUCUCUGGAUCUUUUCUGACGCUGAGGGACGAAAGCUAGGGGAGCGAACGGGAUUAGAUAC
rnacentral:rRNA from 1 species